rnacentral:rRNA from 1 species
GAUCAACGCUGGCGGCGUGCCUAAUACAUGCAAGUCGAGCGAACAGACGAGGAGCUUGCUCCUCUGACGUUAGCGGCGGACGGGUGAGUAACACGUGGAUAACCUACCUAUAAGACUGGGAUAACUUCGGGAAACCGGAGCUAAUACCGGAUAAUAUAUUGAACCGCAUGGUUCAAUAGUGAAAGACGGUUUUGCUGUCACUUAUAGAUGGAUCCGCGCCGCAUUAGCUAGUUGGUAAGGUAACGGCUUACCAAGGCAACGAUGCGUAGCCGACCUGAGAGGGUGAUCGGCCACACUGGAACUGAGACACGGUCCAGACUCCUACGGGAGGCAGCAGUAGGGAAUCUUCCGCAAUGGGCGAAAGCCUGACGGAGCAACGCCGCGUGAGUGAUGAAGGUCUUCGGAUCGUAAAACUCUGUUAUUAGGGAAGAACAAAUGUGUAAGUAACUAUGCACGUCUUGACGGUACCUAAUCAGAAAACCACGGCUAACUACGU